GCGCCCAUAGCUCAAUUGGUUAGAGCGAUUCCGGCACGCUCUGGUCUGCAUCCUGGACGUCCGCCUCUGGUGGUGUAGGAUGCAGGUUGGGGUUCGAGGAAGAGAUGGGGAUUCGAGUUCCUCUGGACGCA